UACGGAGGGUGCAAGCGUUGUUCGGAUUUAUUGGGCGUAAAGCGCGUGUAGGCGGUUUCUUAAGUCUGAUGUGAAAGCCCUGGGCUCAACCCAGGAAGUGCAUUGGAUACUGGGAGACUUGAAUACGGGAGAGGGUAGUGGAAUUCCUAGUGUAGGAGUGAAAUCCGUAGAUAUUAGGAGGAACACCGGUGGCGAAGGCGGCUACCUGGACCGAUAUUGACGCUGAGACGCGAAAGCGUGGGGAGCGAACAGG
rnacentral:rRNA from 1 species